rnacentral:tRNA from 1 species
GAAUGUGGCUCAGUAGUAAAGUGCUUGCCUGGCAUGUAUAGGGUCCUGGGUUCAAUUCCCAGCAUCA